CCGCUAAUUUACUUAGUAGGCGUCGCGACCUGCGACGACAACUUCACAUCGAGGCGACGGUGAGCAGGAACCCGGUGAAAGUCCGGGACGGUCCCGCCACUGUGACCGGGGUUGCCCCGGGAGUCAGACACUGACCCGUCGUCCUCCUGAACGG
rnacentral:ncRNA from 18 species